GACAGAGGGUGCAAACGUUGUUCGGAAUUACUGGGCGUAAAGCGCGUGUAGGCGGCUAAGUAAGUCGGGCGUGAAAUCCCACGGCUCAACCGUGGAAGUGCACUCGAAACUGCAUAGCUAGAGUCCUGGAGAGGAAGGUGGAAUGCUUGGUGUAGAGGUGAAAUUCGUAGAUAUCAAGCGGGACACCGGUGGCGAAGGCGGCCUUCUGGACAGUGACUGACGCUGAGACGCGAAAGCGUGGGGAGCAAACAGG
rnacentral:rRNA from 1 species